rnacentral:misc_RNA from 1 species
GUUGAACAUUUGGUCCUUUCUAUGAGCACCCGUGUAUUUCUUUUUACACAAUCUGGGUUUUUGCAGCCUUGAAGGAGCAGAAGAACCAAAUGGAGAUGGAUUCGAAUCCGAUGGAGAGAACCCAAGAUUGUGAUCCAUUGAAGCAAUUUUGUGCUCUGAAUGAUUAUUAUAUGAAGAUUGAGCGUUAAAAAACUGACCUUUACGUAGAUGCAAAUCUCCGGUGUCGGUCAACGCCGGCGACAUAUGUCAUCUAAUCUGACGGCCGGCGUUUACUUGUGAUCAAUUUUUCAAGAAUCUUGGAUUAUCAUGAAAUUGCUUCCUUUGUGG